rnacentral:rRNA from 1 species
AUAGUAUGUGAAUUGCAGAAUUCAGUGAAUCAUCGAAUCUUUGAACGCACCUUGCGCCCCUUGGUAUUCCGAGGGGCACGCCUGUUCGAGUGUCGUGA